AACGAACGCUGGCGGCAUGCCUAACACAUGCAAGUCGAACGAGACCUUCGGGUCUAGUGGCGCACGGGUGCGUAACGCGUGGGAAUCUGCCCUUGGGUUCGGAAUAACAGUUAGAAAUGACUGCUAAUACCGGAUGAUGUCUUCGGACCAAAGAUUUAUCGCCCAGGGAUGAGCCCGCGUAGGAUUAGCUAGUUGGUGGGGUAAAGGCCUACCAAGGCGACGAUCCUUAGCUGGUCUGAGAGGAUGAUCAGCCACACUGGGACUGAGACACGGCCCCAGACUCCUACGGGAGGCAGCAGUGGGGAAUAUUGGACAAUGGGCGAAAGCCUGAUCCAGCAAUGCCGCGUGAGUGAUGAAGGCCUUAGGGUUGUAAAGCUCUUUUACCCGGGAUGAUAAUGACAGUACCGGGAGAAUAAGCCCCGGCUAACCUCCGUGCCAGCAGCCGCGGUAAU
rnacentral:rRNA from 1 species